UAUUUUAUUACUAUCAUUAUUUAUUACAUUAAAUAUUUACUAUGAUGAAUUCAUAAAUUUUUCAUCUCAAAAUAAACAUCAAAUGUAAAAUGACAUUAAUUCCAUGAAUACACGGGUUUGGGAUCAAAGGGGUUAUUAGUUUAUUCCAUGAAUACACGGGUUUGGGACCAAAGGGGUUAUUAGUUUAUUCCAUGAAUACACGGGUUUGGGACCAAAGGGGUUGUUAUCACUUAAAUGACCAUUUUUCCAUUCUCAGCAACUGUUCCAGACACUCUGAGCCGUUGGAGUCUAGGUGCCAUUCUUAACCUAAGUUGGGCUGAACCUAUGUUGUUUUUAUUUGAUGCUUUUUAUUUUAUUUUACUACUUUAAAUGGAGUCUCUGAAAAUGAUUGAUUUUCUUUUGCAAUGUGGCAUUGAAAGGGUUCUAUAUAGAAACAAAUUUGUGUAUUACUUAGAAAAACCAGUAGAGAGUGCUGUUGACUGUCUUUUUUUGGAAUCGCCUAAAAUUAAAUCCACAAAACACUGUACUAACUGGAGUGCUACCAUUGAAUGGGACACAAGUUGGGUUAUUUACUAGCGUACGCUGAAAAAUGUGGAGAAAUAACAAAACAAUUAUACAUUUUAUGUCAAACCAUGCAAAACUGUGUAGUGUUACUAAUUAUUUCAGUGGUUAAUGGCAGAAGGUGUAAACAAGGUAUUCACUUACAAACCAUAGUUUAACAUCAGUUGUGAAUUCUUGACAUUUUAUUUCUAAUUAAAGGUUAAAGGGACACUACACAAAAUAAUCCUUACUGUGUACUGUUGUGGUUAUGUUCCAUACAGUGCCCUGGCACCAUCCCCGAGUAUUAUGUGAAUUCAUUUAGGAAUGUUGUGGCAUUAAAUGGAGUUCAUAGUGGCAGUGCCCGUCCACCCACAUUGACAAUGGAUGAUUGGUUGAUAGGCUUAUCUAGUGCGCUCAGCCAAUCAAUGCUGGCCAGGUUGGACAUUACUGAUACAGAUAGUAUGAAAGAGUUAAUUUACAUUAUUAAUGCAGUUGAGGAGCGGUGAGCACUGGGAAGAGCCCUUGUUCAUGUCAAACAGUUCCUAAAUAAUUUUGACAUUGAACUCUGGGCAGUAUUGUCUGUAGCGGUUAUGUUGCUCAAAGUGCUCCAUUUACUGCUGUCAAAGCAGCCAUAUAUUUCCCAUUUACUUGGCUGUAAACCAAAGUCUUGUGCUGUCGGGUUUUGCUCAAAAAUAUCCCUGUAUUUAGCACCAUCCAUCUUUCCUUCAACUCUGACCAGCUUCCCAGUCCUGGCUGCUGAAAAGCAGAUAGUGUUCUUUGGGUGAUGUGAUGUGUUGGGUUUGCGCCAGACAUAGC